AUUUUUGCAUCUUAUUGAUUUUAUUAUUGAUAAGUCCUAUCCAAUUUCGUAAAUAAAACUAGUCACCUUCCUACAAUUUCUUUCAUUCAAAGUGUGAACCUUCUCGGGGCAAUUUUAUUUUUAAGCCUUAAAGUGUGUGAUUUCAUUGUGUCUUAUUUCUCUCCUAUAUAGAGUUUUCACAUCUUGAUUUAACAGGAAUCUGACUUGU
rnacentral:misc_RNA from 1 species